GCUGACUCUCUUUUUGGAUUUAGCCAGCCUGCACCCAGGUGAUUGAAAGCCUUAUUGCUCACACAAAGCCUGUUUGGUGGUCUCUUCACAUCGACGCUCAUGAAAUUUGGUGCCAAAACCGGGGAUUGGGGGACCUCCCUUAGGAGAUCAAUCCCUUAUCCUUCCUCCUGCUCUUUGCUCCAUGAGAAAGAUCCACCUAUGACCUCUGGUCCUCAGACCCACCAGCCCAAGGAACAUCUCACCAAUUUCAAAUCCGUCCUGAGGAAGAUUGACAUUUGCCACACCUGCAUAAAGAACCCACUUGGUGAAAACCCAAGUUUUCUUGGAGUCUGCUGCUGUGAGACACGAGGAAAAAACAGUACAUGUGUACACGGUAGAUCUGGAAGGGAAAGCAGAAAGUAUCCAACACUUCUUGCAUGAAGAAAACAAAAUGUGGAUCCUUCUUACUCCACGUUGAAUGAAAGCAGAAGUUUGAUUAUACAGUUGUUUCCUCAGUAUCCACAACGGAUUUGUUCCAGGAGUCUGAAUAUCUGUGGGCUCCCUAUCCCACGAAUACUCUAUUUUCAAUCUGCAAUGGGUUGAAUCCAUGUAUACGGAAUCCACAGAUAGGGAAGGCUGAUUAUAUAUGUAUUAAAAUAUCAUAGUGGUUGUGACUACUCUGUAAGGGCAUUUUGGAAUCCUGCACAAAAUUUAGUUUACAUGUGGAGACCGAUGUUAUGACACACACAAUCCAAGAGGUUAUGUAAAGGUUUAUUACAUACGUAAUUGAGGCUUUCUGCGAAAAACCAUUCAGUCCUCCCAAUGUGAUCAAAAAUGUCUUGUGAGAGCAAAGAAAGGAUACUGGCUUGGGCUUUUAUUGUGGGUAUGAGGUGGAAGGAUUCCUGGAUGUAGGGAGGGAUUUACAGGGCUUAAAUCUCCUGCUGCCUGGCAACAAAGGAGGCAGCACCUAGGCUUUCUUACGAGCUUACCCAGAGGUGAGGCAGAAGAGGAAGAAGGAAAGAUGAGGCUCAAAGGCUGCCAGCAAUCAAAUAUCAAAAAAAAAGACUACCAAACAAUCCACUGCAGAGUAAUGCUAAAUUAACUCUGAUUAUUAGAAAAUAUAUAAAGUAGAGUUAUUGCAUGCAUAGGCUAAUAAUUUUCAUCAAAUUUUGGAACAUUUUAGUCAUUUAAAUAAAUAUUUUGCCCCACCUAUUUUUCUAUCUUCUCCUUUUGGUUUCCCAUUGCACAUAUGUUGGUGCACUUGAAGUCUUUUUACAGGUCUUUGAGUCUCAGUUCAUCUUUCUCCAUUCUUGUUUUCUCAAGAGCUGGGAAAGUACCUCAGGCAGUAAGCUGGGACAAAUGUAAGACCUUCAUGUUUUGUUCUCUUCCCCUUCAGAAUUUACAUAUUACCCAAUCACAGAAAAUUACCAUUGCAUCAUUUCAUGUGUAGUUUCUAAUGCUUGGGUUCAUUUAAAAUUAUGUGAAUAUUCUGUAUUUACAUCCCUGUUUCCCUUUUUCAAAAACAAAAUAGCUAUAUGAUUUGACUACAAUUUUUUAAAAUCUUAAAUUUCAGCUGUUUUUAGCAAAAAGAAAAUAGUUGCAUUCUCUGCCCUUAAAACAGCAUAUCACACAACAUAAAAUAAAUAAAGAUUUUAUGCACUUUAAGUAAAUUUUUUGACUAUUUCCUUUAUGGAAAAUUAAGGGUAUGCAUAUUAUAUAAACACGAAAUAGGCACCUGUAAAAUAGGUCAAUUAAUAUUUCAUUUUUAGCUUUUCAAGUGAAAAACACACAUAAAGAAUAACUGAUGCAAAUAAUAAGGUUUUUUGGUUUUUUUUUUACUAAUGACUUGUGAUCCUGUGGCUUCAUUGACUUUCCUACAAUCUAAUGUUACCACAUAACCUGCCUACCAUCAUAAUGUUGGUAAUAAUUACAUCCCUUUGGAUUUCCUUACAAUGCUUUCAUAUGGCUGGUCUUUUAUUAUUAUUUCUUGCUGAACCUUUUCUUUUCCUUAGCAUUUAAAAUUCCUCUUUCUUUAUUUAAUGUUACUGAAGCUUACAAGCAAAAAUAUCACUUGCUUUGAAAAUAGCCUUUU
rnacentral:lncRNA from 1 species